rnacentral:pre_miRNA from 13 species
CUUUGUAUUCUUCCACAGCUUUCUUGAACUGCACCUAUUAGAUUAAUGUUGAUGUUGUUGUGCGAUAUGCCAUGACCAUAUGACAUUGUAUUCAUUUUUGCUGCGGUUCAAUAAAGCUGUGGGAAGAUACAAACA